GCCAGGUGUGGUGGUGCACACCUGUGGUCCUUGCUACUUGGGAGGCUGAGGUGGGAGGAUUACUUGAGCUCAGGAGGUUGAUGCUGCAGUGAGCCAUGUUUGUACCACUGCACUCCAGCCUGAGUGACAAAGAAAGAUCCUGUCUCAA
rfam:Pan troglodytes isolate Yerkes chimp pedigree #C0471 (Clint) chromosome 7, whole genome shotgun sequence.